CGUUUGCGUUGGUCGAACGCGGAAAACGGGCAGCGUCAACGUGUUCAAGACCCAUGUGCUGGACAGUGGGCGACCAUCCCUUUUUGAGCCGUGCCAAAGACAUUUCUUUGUUAGGGAGGCGCCGAUUCUCUACUCUGCGGAUAAGGUCUCAAAAGAUUUACGAUUGGCAGCAACAUUGGAUGACACCCUGGCCCCGAAUCUUUUCGAGACAACAGAACUUGACAACCAGCGUGCUCUCUCCAUGGAAGACAAGACAUUCCUCAAGAUAAUGAAUAGUGAAUUCCCCCAAGACAAAUUAAACAAUUGGGUCGCCCCUCUCCCCUUUUGCACACCGAGAAGUCUGCUUCCGAACAACAGAGAACAAGCUCUGUCUCGUCUGCUCUCGCUAAGGCGUACCCUGCGAAAAAAUCCUGAAACAAGGGAACGUUUCGUGAACUUCAUGAACGAGCUAUUUAUCAAGGGUCAUGCAGAGGAAGCUUCACCACUUCACGUGGACGAAGAAUGUUGGUAUCUGCCCAUAUUCGGCACCACUUUUUUACGGGGCUAAAACUGAACGUUUUGUGUAUUUUUAACUUGCUUUUUUGACCUUCUCAGUGUAAUUAAAGUUUGUUUUAAAUGUUCAA
rnacentral:lncRNA from 1 species